UAUAGGCUAAACGCCUGAUUUGAGAUUUUGAUUUAGAAACAAAGAUGUCAUUAGCUGCCAAAGAAUAUCGUUUCGCUCGCCUCACACAACCACUUAUGUAAAAGAAGGCGUAGAUGACUCUCCUUCUUCAACGAGCUGAUUGGCCCGGGGAGCUGUCAAUCAACACUCGAUCCCUCGCCACUCGCCAGCACUAUCAAACUCAGUUGCGGUAUGAAGUUUCUAAAAUGACACUUUGGGAUAUUUUUGUCGGCACAAUGUUGCUGUUUUUGUCUAGAAAGUUGCAGUGAUGAGGCGUGGAGAUCCUCUCCCUGGAGCCUUCCAGGCUCCAGUGGAUGUACACGCCAGUGUGGAUGGCCAGGUGUACAUGUUCAGACACAGACAAGAAGAACCGGAAGCGUCAUCUGAGGAUGAGGAACUCAAUGUCAUGGAGCUCCGGCCACGGAGCCGAGAUUCAUCCUCACAGGAGAGAGAAAGAGUGGGCGAAAUGCUUUUGCUAGAACGGGACAUUUCCCAUGAGGACAAUCUCAGCAAACUGGCCCUUCAGUAUGGAUGCAAGGUGGCUGACAUAAAAAGAGUGAACAACCUUUUUCAAGAGCAGGACAUGUAUGCACUGAAGUCCAUCAAAAUCCCUGUAAAGAAGCAUAGUCUGCUAACCGAGGCCAACUCUGAGCUCAGGAAUCCCCAGCAAAGACCGCCCCUCGAUGCAGCAUCAUCAAACAGCGCUGACGCGAGCGUCUCGGGGAGACCUCAGGUGCAGGAGUUCACCAAUUACCUUAAAGAAGUAGACAAUGACAUUGAGCGUCUGAUCCAAAGCACAGACCCCUCAGAAGAGGUAUUUCCGGGUGAUUCCAGGGUAUCCAGACGAUGGGGAUGGAGAAGCCAGCGCUUGCGCAGCUAUGGUGCGGACUGGGGGAUCCAGUGGUGGAACGCUGUAGUUGCCAUGUUACUCAUUGGCAUUGUUCUACCAAUAUUCUAUGUGGUAUAUUUUAAAACUCAAGAGAGUGGUGAAUCUGUAGUGGACAAUGGAGUGGUCAACAUAUCUCUGCCUACCUCAAACAGUACAAGGGUGAGCGUCAGCUCAGUGAACCCUGGGAAUAUAAUGGGAAACCAUCUUGAGAAAAAGCAAGUAUAAACUUUGUGUAGCCUUAUCAUUUGGUUUGAUGCCUAUAAUUUUCUUUGGUACUUGGUGCAGAUAAACUUAGUAUUACAAGUAGAUUACAUCUACAAGUCUUUUUAGACACAAAUAUUAUGGUAGAUUCGCUUAGUGAAUUGAUGAGCCAUAAUAAAAAGGUAAGUUUUGGGUUCAAAAGACUGAUAUUGCACACUGUCCCAAUGUAUUUUGCAUGCAACAUUAAGGUAAUCAAAUGAUUUUCUUUUUUGGCGAACUGUCCCUUUAAUUACUUUGCAUGAAGGUACAUUUAAAGAGAAAAUGUAACAGAUGAGAUUGCAAACUAACUGUUAGUCUGCUUACACUCUACACGUUGAAAUGGUUGUUAUUGGUUUCAUUGGUGCUUUUAUUUAAAUUAAUUAUGAAAUCGUAAUAACAGUUUUUCUUUGUGGAGAAAGAAAAGAGCAAAAACCUUUAAAAGUCAUUAUGAAACAUAUCAUAGCUUUGCUCAUAAAAUUGAUCAUAUUUGAUCAAAUUUGUAUCUAUUUUUUGUUUUGUUUUUUGUUUUAAUUCUAUAUUUUAGAUAUGGAAAGACACUAUAGUGCCAGCAGUGCCAAAGAAUGGAUGUGUAUAUUUAGUAACUGUUUGUUCAGUCAUUAGAAGUGCAAUACAAAUAAGAGCUAACCUCAUGGGCAGAUGGACAUAUUUUGACCUUUGACCUUGCAACAUUAAAACAUUUUAAUCUGA